CUUCCUAACCUGGAACAAAGAACGACUGGAUUUUUUGUCCCAUUUGAACCCCUCACAAACUGUUUUCCUUUCUGGCCUGUUCCUCCUCCAUCCUCAUCCACUCCCUGGCUGAUCCAGACUCAUCAUAGCGUCUGUCUGUCUUUGGAUCAUAAAACCUUUCUUUUCUUGGCUGGGACACAUGGUAAUGCUUCUAUAGAACAACUAAACCUCAUUUCAAGGAUUCCAUGUAACACACUCUGUUGCUGUGGAUGGACUUGAACUCCAGGGCCUCUUGUCUUCCACGUGCUGGGAUUGCAGGUCUGUGGCCCUGAUGCCCCCAGGUCAUCUGGAGUCUGAUCAUGCCAGGAUAAAAAAUAAAUAAAGUAAAUAAAAGGAA